rnacentral:pre_miRNA from 1 species
AACAUACUCCCUCUGUCCAAAAAUACUUGUCAUUAAAAUAAAUAAAAAGAAAAAAAUCUAGAACUAAAAUAUGUCUAAAUACAUCUCUUUUUAUCUAUUUUGAUGACAAGUAUUUCCGGACGGAGGGAGUAUCUG